rnacentral:rRNA from 1 species
GACAAACGCUGGCGGAAUGUAUUAGGCAUGCAAGUCGUACGAACCUUCGGGUUAGUGGCGAACGGGUGAGUAACACGUGGGUAACCUGCCUCGUAGUGGGGAAUAACUCGCCGAAAGGCGAGCUAAUACCGCAUAACACCCCCGGUGAGAAUCCGGGUGGUAAAAGCUCCGGCGCUACGAGAGGGGCCCGCGGCCGAUUAGCUAGUUGGUGGGGUAAUGGCCUACCAAGGCGACGAUCGGUAGCUGGUCUGAGAGGAUGGUCAGCCACACGGGGACUGAGAUACGGCCCCGACUCCUACGGGAGGCAGCAGCUAAGAAUCUUGCGCAAUGGGCGAAAGCCUGACGCAGCAAUUCCGCGUGGGGGACGAAGGCCCUCGGGUCGUAAACCCCUUUUGUGAGGGAAGAAGUUCUGACGGUACCUCACGAAUAAGACACGGCUAACUACGUG